UGCGGAAGGAGGUGAAAAAAAAAAUGGGAUAUGCCUGGCUCCCUGUAUGCCACUCGCGUAGCUGCCAACAACUCAGUUUGAGCUCCCCCGGCCCAAACGCAAACGUUGGCUCUACCGCGGAUGGCGUGCGAGGAGCCAAGCAUGACCGUCUCUCCCCCUCCCUCCCUCUCUCCCU